CAAUAGCGUAUAUUUAAGUUGUUGCAGUUAAAAAGCUCGUAGUUGGAUUUCGGAUAAGAGCGACCGGUCCGCCGUUUGGUGUGCACUGGUUGGUUUUAACUUCCUGUAGAGGACGUGCUCUGGGUUUAACGACCUGGACUCGGAGUCUACGUGGUUACUUUGAAAAAAUUAGAGUGUUCAAAGCGGGCUUACGCUUGAAUAUUUCAGCAUGGAAUAACACUAUAGGACUCCUGUCCUAUUUCGUUGGUCUCGGGACGGGAGUAAUGAUUAAGAGGAACAGUUGGGGGCAUUCGUAUUUCAUUGUCAGAGGUGAAAUUCUUGGAUUUAUGAAAGACGAACUUCUGCGAAAGCAUUUGCCAAGGAUGUUUUCAUUAA
rnacentral:rRNA from 1 species